ACUUUGCCCAACUCCCAGUUCAUCUCGCUCCAAGGAACCGCCGCCCCUGCGCCCUUGCCCUCGUCUUCGCCGGCUGCUCGCCGCCCUGCCUCGACACGCGUUUGACCCUGCCUCACUCUCUGUGCCGUGCAACCUCCUGUUGCGCUCCCGCUGGCCUGCGACUUCCUCGCGCCGACUCCCUACGCGCUGCCCGGCCCUGCUUCGUUUCCCCAUCGAGACUCCCUCCGGCCACUGCCCUUCAUGUGCCCGGUGCCUCCCUCCGGCCGCCGUCCUCUGUGCCGGCGACGCUGUUCCUCGCGGAUGAAAAAGCAGGGUAGUUCCUCAUGGCGGCGACGUGGUUCCCCCUCGCCGCAGUUCCUGUGGCACAACGUCGUAUCCUUCUCUAGCGUCAUUGGCCUCUUGACUGAUAUGAGAUCGUUGCCCUCUUGGUGUUGAUGCACUGUAGCUGAUUUUGCCAAGGGAGAAGACAGGAAGCGGCAUCAGGAUGAGGGCAAGUUUCUGAUCUGUUUGAGGCUACAUGCACACAUGGACGGUGGAGACUGUUGCUGGGCCUAUGAGAUGAUGGACGCCAUCAACAAGGGGGUCUUGCUAUCCUGCAUCCAAUCCUAUAGGAAUUUAUUAAGUUGCCCUUCUUCAUGUACUUCAAGUUGAGCACUUUAGAAUUUUUUCCCAAUGUUGUAGACUUUGAUUUUGGCACAUUAGUGAAAGUUUAUGAUGUUGUGUUCCAAACGGAGAGAUAGAAUGGUUAGAAUAGAGUCAUGCGUGUUUGAUUGGAGAAUUUGAUGCUUGGUUAAGGAGUUUUGGAGUCUUUACUCUCUCUCUCUCUCUCUCUUAAGUGCUUCUGCCAUUUUAUAUAUGGAAGAUUGUCAUGACAAUUGUGUAUGUUUUUUUAGAAUUUUUUAACUAGAGCAGUUGAGUGUGAUUUUUUAGUUUUCUACUAUUCUAAGGUGAAUGUUUCUAACCUUAGGAUCAAACUUUUUCUGUACUUUACUGUUGUAAUAUUUGUCUUUUGAUUAGUAAUGAUUCUAAUGAACAGUAAUCGACCAUGCUGAUGCAAAUCAGGAAUGGAAAAUAGAUACAACAAAGUGGGAGAAUUUUAUCAGAAGAAAUCCUUCCUUAAUGAAGAUUUUCAGACCUCAAGAUGGAAUUAGGCAUCUAAAAGCACUUGUGCGGGAAAUAUCCACUGAAAUUAGGCAUCUAGAAGCUACUAUAUUAGUGUGUCUGUGCAAUAGAUUUUCUAUAAUUUCAACAUGUGUAUAGAUAAUAUUUUUUCAGAGCCCCACUCUUGAAGUUUAUUAACUGCUUAUGUCCUGGUUGUGUAAGCACCAAAAAUUUAGAUUUUGUAAGCAAAUGCAUAUGAAUGUCAGCAAAACAUUGCUUCUCAGCCUAUUUAACAAUUCAUGUUUUACUUUUAUUUUGAUUGAUAGCAAAACAUCGCUUCUCAGCCGGUUAAACAAUUCAUGUUUUAUUAUCCUCAUGGCAACAUAUGUUAUAACAUGCAUGUUUUUUUAGUUCCUGUUUUCCUAAUUCAAAGAAUGCAGCGAAAGAUUUUAAUCAUU